UACGUAGGGUGCGAGCGUUGUCCGGAAUUACUGGGCGUAAAGGGCUCGUAGGUGGUUUGUCGCGUCGUCUGUGAAAUUCCGGGGCUUAACUCCGGGCGUGCAGGCGAUACGGGCAUAACUUGAGUACUGUAGGGGUAACUGGAAUUCCUGGUGUAGCGGUGAAAUGCGCAGAUAUCAGGAGGAACACCGAUGGCGAAGGCAGGUUACUGGGCAGUUACUGACGCUGAGGAGCGAAAGCAUGGGUAGCGAACAGGAUUAGAUACCCGGGUAGUCC
rnacentral:rRNA from 1 species